GAUGAACGCUGGCGGCGUGCCUAAUACAUGCAAGUCGAGCGAACAGACGAGGAGCUUGCUCCUCUGAUGUUAGCGGCGGACGGGUGAGUAACACGUGGAUAACCUACCUAUAAGACUGGGAUAACUUCGGGAAACCGGAGCUAAUACCGGAUAACAUGUUGAACCGCAUGGUUCAACAGUGAAAGACGGUCUUGCUGUCUCUUAUAGAUGGAUCCGCGCCGCAUUAGCUAGUUGGUAAGGUAACGGCUUACCAAGGCAACGAUGCGUAGCCGACCUGAGAGGGUGAUCGGCCACACUGGAACUGAGACACGGUCCAGGCUCCUACGGGAGGCAGCAGUAGGGAAUCUUCCGCAAAGGGCGAAAGCCUGACGGAGCAACGCCGCGUGAGUGAAGAAGGUCUUCGGAUCGUAAAACUCUGUUAUUAGGGAAGAACAAAUGUGUAAGUAACUAUGCACGUCUUGACGGUACCUAAUCAGAAAGCCACGGCUAACUACGUG
rnacentral:rRNA from 1 species